rnacentral:tRNA from 1 species
UAUAUUCUAAUAGCUUAACCUACAAAGCAUUGGUCUUGUAAACCGAAGAUGAU